rnacentral:SRP_RNA from 1 species
GCUGGACUUGGCCGGGAAGCCAGGCACUUCCUGUUACCCGAAGCCUAAAUGCGGGGGCGACAGCCGGUUGAGGGCAACCAGGCCUCCAUAGGGUCCCUGUGGAAGCAAUGAAUCUCUGUCCUCCUUGGUCCUGGGUUUAUGCGUGCAUUUCCAAAGGGAGAUGCAUGCAUAAUCUGUCCGGUGAACCCGCCAGGCCCGGAAGGGAGCAACGGUGGCUGGAACCAAGGAUGCUAGGAGGGUGCGGGGACGAGUGGAAGCAGGGGGCAGCCCUAUGGGCGCCUGGUCCGAUUCCGGCGUGUCCAGCA